AAAAAAAAAAAAAAAAUACCCUUCUCGCUCACAUAACCAACUUCUCUAUCUCAGAGUCCUUCUACCAUCGAAGAAGCCUUUUGAGAGAACGCUCCUCUCUCUUUCUCUCUCAUUGAAGAAAUCUGUCUCAUCACCCUCUCACCCUCCGUCACUCCCUAAUUAUUCAAAGAAUCUUGUAUUAACCAGGUUUUUUGAUUUAUUUACUCAAUCAAGGUUAACGCCUGGUGGAAACCCAGCUUGCAAGAAUCUUGCUUCAAUCAUGCUCACUCGAUCCACAGUCCACUUUAGUUUGCUUUGUCAAAACUUAUCUUGAAAGUCAUGCAAAACAACUCGUGGAGAAUUGUAUCUUGAAACCCAGAAACCAAAUAAUGCAUGAUUUGUAAAUGAUGCAGCAAAGGCUGCAAUGCAGUAUAUUCAAGACGACAUUGAUUGGGCCUAAGUUGAAUUUGAAGGAAAUCAAGAUUGCCUUCAUCUUUUAGAGAAGGUACAUAACUUCUGAGUUCUAAUAUAUAUUCUGACAUAUGGUUUAGACAUCCUUUGGUACUCUACGCAUGCUAUUUCACGGGAAGACAUCUUCUGGGUUCUAAUAUAUAUCCCGACAUAUGCUUUAUAGAUUCUUUGGUACUCUGCACUUGUUAUUUCAAGCAAAGACAUGUUUUAGAAGUGAGAACUGUUGUUUAGUAGGGUUCUAGGAAGUAUUUUAAUAUGGUCUAUCAAGUAUUUUAAUGUGGAACAUGAUUAUCAUAUGGUUCGUAAUUGUGUUUGUUUACUGCUGUAAUUUUGAUG